rnacentral:rRNA from 1 species
GGGUUGUGAGGUUAAGCGACUAAGCGUACACGGUGGAUGCCCUGGCAGUCAGAGGCGAUGAAGGGCGUGCUAAUCUGCGAUAAGCGCCGGUAAGGUGAUAUGAACCGUUAUAACCGGCGAUACCCGAAUGGGGAAACCCAGUGUGAUUCGUCACACUAUCAUUAACUGAAUCCAUAGG